rnacentral:rRNA from 1 species
UACGUAGGGUGCAAGCGUUAAUCGGAAUUACUGGGCGUAAAGCGUGCGCAGGCGGUUAUGUAAGACAGUUGUGAAAUCCCCGGGCUCAACCUGGGAACUGCAUCUGUGACUGCAUAGCUAGAGUACGGUAGAGGGGGAUGGAAUUCCGCGUGUAGCAGUGAAAUGCGUAGAUAUGCGGAGGAACACCGAUGGCGAAGGCAAUCCCCUGGACCUGUACUGACGCUCAUGCACGAAAGCGUGGGGAGCAAACAGGAUUA